ensembl:lncRNA
UUACUGUAUAGCUACUGUAUAGUUACUGUAUAGCCCACUGUAUAGUUACUGUAUAGCCCACUAUACAGUAUAGCCCACUGACGCCACUGAGACACAGACUGUCUUUGAAACUGAUCUCCCUUUGUUGUGUCUCGUAAAGGUGUGUGUGUGUUCUUCUGUUUGACCUUUGACCUUUGUUGUCGAUACUGAUCUGAGAACUAAAAUCUGUCCAAGAGGAGGAAGAGACUGAAAAAACUAAAAGUGUACAGUCAGAAACUUCGAGACGUUAGUGAUGUUAGUCGAGACGUCAACACUCUUGGGAAGAAAGGAGCUAUCUCGAACCUUAAAGGACACUUUGAAGAACCCUACAUUUUGCUGCAGGUAGAACCCUACAUUUUGCAUCUUGGUUCCAGGUAGAACCCUACAUUUUGCAUCUUGGUUCCAGGUAGAACCCUACAU